rnacentral:rRNA from 1 species
GGAUCCAGACUUUGAUUCUGGCUCAGGAUGAACGCUAGCUACAGGCUUAACACAUGCAAGUCGAGGGGCAGCGGUAUCGAAAGCUUGCUUUCGGUAGCCGGCGACCGGCGCACGGGUGAGUAACGCGUAUCGAACCUGCCUCAUACUCGGGAAUAGCCUUGCGAAAGUAAGAUUAAUGCCCGGUGUUUUCAGAGUCCCGCAUGAGGCUUUGAACAAAGAUUUAUCGGUAUGAGAUGGCGAUGCGUCCCAUUAGCUUGUUGGCGGGGUAACGGCCCACCAAGGCAUCGAUGGGUAGGGGUUCUGAGAGGAAGGUCCCCCACAUUGGAACUGAGACACGGUCCAAACUCCUACGGGAGGCAGCAGUGAGGAAUAUUGGUCAAUGGGCGGAAGCCUGAACCAGCCAAGUAGCGUGCAGGAAGACGGCCCUCCGGGUUGUAAACUGCUUUUAGUUGGGAAUAAAACGGGGCUCGUGAGCCCCCUUGCAUGUACCAUCAGAAAAAGGACCGGCUAAUUCCGUGCCAGCAGCCGCGGUAAUACGGAAGGUCCGGGCGUUAUCCGGAUUUAUUGGGUUUAAAGGGAGCGCAGGCGGACCUUUAAGUCAGCUGUGAAAUACGGCGGCUCAACCGUCGAACUGCAGUUGAUACUGGAGGUCUUGAGUGCACACAGGGAUGCUGGAAUUCAUGGUGUAGCGGUGAAAUGCUCAGAUAUCAUGAAGAACUCCGAUCGCGAAGGCAGGCAUCCGGGGUGCAACUGACGCUGAGGCUCGAAAGUGCGGGUAUCAAACAGGAUUAGAUACCCUGGUAGUCCGCACAGUAAACGAUGAAUACUCGCGGUUUGCGAUACAUUGUAAGCCGCCAAGCGAAAGCGUUAAGUAUUCCACCUGGGGAGUACGCCGGCAACGGUGCAACUCAAAGGAAUUGACGG